GAUGAACGCUGGCGGCGUGCCUAAUACAUGCAAGUCGAGCGAACGGACGAGAAGCUUGCUUUUCUGAUGUUAGCGGCGGACGGGUGAGUAGCACGUGGAUAACCUACCUAUAAGACUGGGAUAACUUCGGGAAACCGGAGCUAAUACCGGAUAAUAUUUUGAACCGCACGGUUCAAAAGUGAAAGACGGUCUUGCUGUCACUUAUAGAUGGAUCCGCGCUGCAUUAGCUAGUUGGUAAGGUAACGGCUUACCAAGGCAACGAUGCAUAGCCGACCUGAGAGGGUGAUCGGCCACACUGGAACUGAGACACGGUCCAGACUCCUACGGGAGGCAGCAGUAGGGAAUCUUCCGCAAUGGGCGAAAGCCUGACGGAGCAACGCCGCGUGAGUGAUGAAGGUCUUCGGAUCGUAAAACUCUGUUAUUAGGGAAGAACAUAUGUGUAAGUAACUGUGCACAUCUUGACGGUACCUAAUCAGAAAGCCACGGCUAACUACGUG
rnacentral:rRNA from 1 species